rnacentral:tRNA from 1 species
GGGCGACUAGCUCAGUUGGUUAGAGCGCCGUCCUCACACGGCGGAAGUCACAGGUUCGAGUCCCGUGUCGCCCA